UUGUGAAAAUUCCAGAAAAGCAGUGAAAAACCCAAAAUUUUCACUGAAGGAAUUAAUUGAAAGUGUUGUGCGGAGUGUGAACUUCGUGCGAGCAACAGUGAAAUCUUGGAAAUUUUCCUUAUUUUCACGUGUUAGCCACUGCCUUACGUUUCCGGAAGCUCCUCAUAUUCCUAUAAGGAAAAUAAGUCUGGAAUUCAUUCCAGCAUACGAAGGAGGAAAGGAUUCAAUUCUACCAACUAUCCUGCCACCAUAGCCUUCGAACCGGAUGUGCUAAAAUCAUAAAUUCUUUUAUUUCUUAUUUCUUUUAGUUAUUUAUUUCUUACCUUCAAGGUACCUGUGAAAACUAAUAAAUUCUUUAUGGUUUAUAUUUUAAGGUACGCAGAGUACGACGAGAAAGAGCAAGAGGACGAUAUCAUCUUAAAUAGAAUUUUCAUUCUAUUCUUUCAAGGGUAUUUAGGCACCAGAAGGACCUAAAGGCAUUUUCUGGCUACGCAUCUGAGGUCUAAGAUGGGAUAUCUGAUUGGAAAAUACAGAUUCAUGUUGGGAGACACGAAAAGGUAAUAUUCUGCAGAUUCCUUGGCACUAGUCCACUGAGAGGAGACGUAGAGUGAGAGAUCCUUUUUUGGGGGUUGUUGAAAAACUUUGCUCUUUGAUAUGAAUUCCACAAAGACGCGUAUUCAUGUGAGAUUGCUGCCCCCUCCCCCUCUUGCAGAGGACGUGCACGUGAGAUUUAUGAGGCACCAAAAGGUGCGAUGAUGCUCCUUAUUAGAGGCUCAAUGUGAUGGUGUUGGUAAAGAAAAAGGAGUUAUAAUAAUUAAUGGCAACACAACGUCCCGUGAAGGUGGAGCAUCUCCAAAAGAAGUGCGUCACUCCACGAGUGAUUUAAGUUAAUUAAAAAUAUGAUAAUGAAGACGCACCAGAAAAUCCAACAGGGCACGCGGGAUGAAACGGAAAAACUCAUUCAGAAUAAUAAAUAUGUAAUUUCACCUCGAGAGUGGUGUGGACCAACCCUGUGGGAUUUGUCACACCAAUGAAAUGUUUAUCAUUUUCCACGUGGGCUCCGUGGAGGUCGAGAUGAUUGAAAAUUCACCAGAUAUUCCGGGGCACGUCGUGACGAUUUUAUGUCUCUGGCCUUAUGGUCGUUUUUUUCUCUCUCUCUCUCUCUGCCAUCUCCUCCUCAUCUUGCCAUAUCCUGCGGAGUAUAGGACUUGACUAUGUACGAUGGGGUUGGGGGUGGAAGGUUUUUGUGGCUAUAAAACAGAAAAAUGCAAUUUGGUAGCGAGAAAAUCAACCCCUUUCGCUCUACUACAAAAUCCCCUGCAGAAUUCUUGGAGGAAAAAACCUUGUCGCUCUGGGUGUGUCAUCCGAGAUGAAUUCAUCGAGAAUUCAGCACCUUAAUCAAUUUUUCACGUGCCUUUCGACCGAGGAAGUGUUUUUCCACACACACCACCAGCCACCACCAGCCACCACCCGCCACCAACAGCCACCAUCAGGAGCCCCACAGAAAUAAAGUCAACAAUUUAGACGCCCCCAGUGUGGAAGGAAAACUCCGGGGGUGUCAUGAAUGAAUUUAUGCAGAAAACAUCGUCUUUUUCGCGAAACAACCCCACACUCUCAAGAAAAAAAAAAAACAAGGGGAUGAUAUCUGGCACACUUUAGGGGAAAAUGUUGAAUAUAUGCCCAUUGCCCAAUUCUCCAUGAUUUAUUCAUUUUUAGGGCUGAAAAUCAACAAUAUAUUUACUAUAGAUUUCCAUUUAAGGGAGAAAUUGUUUUUUUUCUAAUUCUUUAUUAAUUUCUUUGAAAAGUCCAUGGCCCAAUAGAUAGAUCCAAAAGGUUGCCAGUUCGAGU